CAUUUUAAUAUCAAUUUAAACCAUUUUACAAAACAUAAAAAAAUAGAAGUUUAGAUUAAAGAUUCUUUGUUUACACUUAAAUCAAAUCUUUACAAUAAAAAUAAAAUACAAAAAAAAUACAAGUUUUUUGUAUUGUGAAUUUCUACAAACUAAAAAAAAUGAGUAAAAAAGGAAAAUAAGGAUCAACUUUGUGCAUCAUGUGAGCUUUCA
rnacentral:lncRNA from 1 species